rnacentral:tRNA from 1 species
CUUGGUAGCUCAAUGGUUGAGCAAUCGACUGAGAAUCGAUCGUUGUGGGUUCGAUUCCCACACCAAAACCG